rnacentral:rRNA from 1 species
AGGCUCAGGGUGGACUUCUUCGUCACCCACAACACCGGCUGCCUGAAUCAGCUCAUCGCGGAGGCCAUCGACGCUUGGGGGGUGGACGACCUCGAAGCUGUUGCCAAGCCAAUCUACAAUCAACCAGGAGCAGUCCACAGCUUUGGCAGCCAUGGCCUGUGCAAGGAGCCCAGCGCGGCACGCCUGCAAAGCCUCAAGCUUGGAGGCUGCGUGCUCCCGCCGCUGCACGAGUACGGCGCGCUCACCACGCUCGUCCUGCAAGACAUACCGGAUUCGACGCCCGAGGCAACCUACGAGGGCGUCUUCACCUCGUGCCUGCAGCUGCAGGUGCUGCACCUCAUCUCCUGCAGGUGCAGCGGGAGCAGCGGCGUGGUCGUGGACGCCCCCAUGUCGAAGAUCAGGGAGCUCGUUGUGGACAGGUGCAGGUUCAGACGGAUACGCCUGAGGGCUCUUCCUAGCCUCGAGAACCUUGCCUCCGAGGGAACCAUAGUGCACUUGGAGGAGUCCACCUCGUUUCCCUGUCUCAGGAAAUAUAACCUCACCUUGUGCCUCGGGAUGACACUGCAAAGGUUUCGCCAAGCUCUAUCGCAGCACCUCGAGAUAGAGCCUGAAACGUUUCUUGGAUGCAUGCCGGGCAUAACCAGCCUGAUUCUCAGGCUCACUGGGCCUGACAGAUGGAUCGUGCCGUCGAGCCCCCCAUCGCCGCCGUUGUUGCCGAACCUGAGGAGGCUGCUGGUCGCCGAUGUGCCUUCAUCCUGGGAUGUCUCGUGGCCCCGGCUCCUCCUCGAGACGGCGCCUUCCCUGGAGACGCUCCACAUCCACAUCGCAACUUGCGUAGAAGAGAAGCCCGGUGAUGAGAUACCCUGGCGACCCACCAUGCUUCGGCACCAUCAUCACUUGGAGGAGUUUGUGAUGGUUGGUUAUGAGGGAACAAAGAGGCAGACCUACUUCGUCAAGUUUCUCAUGGGAGCAUGCACGGUGUUGCGCCAUGUCACAAUGUUCAGGAACGGGCAUGCUCGGAACAAGGGGCGCUGGGACUGGGAGUUGGUGACACAUCAACAUUUGUGGACCGACGAGGAGAAGAACAACACACUGAAGCACGUCAUGGAUGGGGUUUCUCCCUCAGCUGGCCAAGUUCGACUAGUUUUAGGCUGA